GACGAACGCUGGCGGCGUGCUUAACACAUGCAAGUCGAACGGAAAGGCCCUGCUUGCAGGGUACUCGAGUGGCGAACGGGUGAGUAACACGUGGGUGAUCUGCCCUGCACUUCGGGAUAAGCUUGGGAAACUGGGUCUAAUACCGGAUAGGAGCCAUCUUUAGUGUGGUGGUUGGAAAGUUUUUUCGGUGUAGGAUGAGCUCGCGGCCUAUCAGCUUGUUGGUGGGGUAAUGGCCUACCAAGGCGGCGACGGGUAGCCGGCCUGAGAGGGUGUACGGCCACAUUGGGACUGAGAUACGGCCCAGACUCCUAAGGGAGGCAGCAGUGGGGAAUAUUGCACAAUGGGCGCAAGCCUGAUGCAGCAACGCCGCGUGGGGGAUGAAGGCCUUCGGGUUGUAAACUCCUUUCGCUAGGGACGAAGCUUUUUGUGACGGUACCUAGAUAAGAAGCACCGGCUAACUACGUG
rnacentral:rRNA from 1 species